rnacentral:rRNA from 1 species
UUAAGCGACUAAGCGUACACGGUGGAUGCCCUGGCAGUCAGAGGCGAUGAAGGACGUGCUAAUCUGCGAUAAGCGUCGGUAAGGUGAUAUGAACCGUUAUAACCGGCGAUUUCCGAAUGGGGAAACCCAGUGUGAUUCGUCACACUAUCAUUAACUGAAUCCAUAGGUUAAUGAGGCGAACCGGGGGAACUGAAACAUCUAAGUACCCCGAGGAAAAGAAAUCAACCGAGAUUCCCCCAGUAGCGGCGAGCGAACGGGGAGCAGCCCAGAGCCUGAAUCAGUGUGUGUGUUAGUGGAAGCGUCUGGAAAGGCGCGCGAUACAGGGUGACAGCCCCGUACACAAAAAUGCACAUGCUGUGAGCUCGAUGAGUAGGGCGGGACACGUGGUAUCCUGUCUGAAUAUGGGGGGACCAUCCUCCAAGGCUAAAUACUCCUGACUGACCGAUAGUGAACCAGUACCGUGAGGGAAAGGCGAAAAGAACCCCGGCGAGGGGAGUGAAAAAGAACCUGAAACCGUGUACGUACAAGCAGUGGGAGCACGCUUAGGCGUGUGACUGCGUACCUUUUGUAUAAUGGGUCAGCGACUUAUAUUCUGUAGCAAGGUUAACCGAAUAGGGGAGCCGAAGGGAAACCGAGUCUUAACUGGGCGUUAAGUUGCAGGGUAUAGACCCGAAACCCGGUGAUCUAGCCAUGGGCAGGUUGAAGGUUGGGUAACACUAACUGGAGGACCGAACCGACUAAUGUUGAAAAAUUAGCGGAUGACUUGUGGCUGGGGGUGAAAGGCCAAUCAAACCGGGAGAUAGCUGGUUCUCCCCGAAAGCUAUUUAGGUAGCGCCUCGUGAAUUCAUCUCCGGGGGUAGAGCACUGUUUCGGCAAGGGGGUCAUCCCGACUUACCAACCCGAUGCAAACUGCGAAUACCGGAGAAUGUUAUCACGGGAGACACACGGCGGGUGCUAACGUCCGUCGUGAAGAGGGAAACAACCCAGACCGCCAGCUAAGGUCCCAAAGUCAUGGUUAAGUGGGAAACGAUGUGGGAAGGCCCAGACAGCCAGGAUGUUGGCUUAGAAGCAGCCAUCAUUUAAAGAAAGCGUAAUAGCUCACUGGUCGAGUCGGCCUGCGCGGAAGAUGUAACGGGGCUAAACCAUGCACCGAAGCUGCGGCAGCGACACUAUGUGUUGUUGGGUAGGGGAGCGUUCUGUAAGCCUGUGAAGGUGUACUGUGAGGUAUGCUGGAGGUAUCAGAAGUGCGAAUGCUGACAUAAGUAACGAUAAAGCGGGUGAAAAGCCCGCUCGCCGGAAGACCAAGGGUUCCUGUCCAACGUUAAUCGGGGCAGGGUGAGUCGACCCCUAAGGCGAGGCCGAAAGGCGUAGUCGAUGGGAAACAGGUUAAUAUUCCUGUACUUGGUGUUACUGCGAAGGGGGGACGGAGAAGGCUAUGUUGGCCGGGCGACGGUUGUCCCGGUUUAAGCGUGUAGGCUGGUUUUCCAGGCAAAUCCGGAAAAUCAAGGCUGAGGCGUGAUGACGAGGCACUACGGUGCUGAAGCAACAAAUGCCCUGCUUCCAGGAAAAGCCUCUAAGCAUCAGGUAACAUCAAAUCGUACCCCAAACCGACACAGGUGGUCAGGUAGAGAAUACCAAGGCGCUUGAGAGAACUCGGGUGAAGGAACUAGGCAAAAUGGUGCCGUAACUUCGGGAGAAGGCACGCUGAUAUGUAGGUGAAGUCCCUCGCGGAUGGAGCUGAAAUCAGUCGAAGAUACCAGCUGGCUGCAACUGUUUAUUAAAAACACAGCACUGUGCAAACACGAAAGUGGACGUAUACGGUGUGACGCCUGCCCGGUGCCGGAAGGUUAAUUGAUGGGGUCAGCGCAAGCGAAGCUCUUGAUCGAAGCCCCGGUAAACGGCGGCCGUAACUAUAACGGUCCUAAGGUAGCGAAAUUCCUUGUCGGGUAAGUUCCGACCUGCACGAAUGGCGUAAUGAUGGCCAGGCUGUCUCCACCCGAGACUCAGUGAAAUUGAACUCGCUGUGAAGAUGCAGUGUACCCGCGGCAAGACGGAAAGACCCCGUGAACCUUUACUAUAGCUUGACACUGAACAUUGAGCCUUGAUGUGUAGGAUAGGUGGGAGGCUUGGAAGUGUGGACGCCAGUCUGCAUGGAGCCGACCUUGAAAUACCACCCUUUAAUGUUUGAUGUUCUAACGUUGACCCGUAAUCCGGGUUGCGGACAGUGUCUGGUGGGUAGUUUGACUGGGGCGGUCUCCUCCUAAAGAGUAACGGAGGAGCACGAAGGUUGGCUAAUCCUGGUCGGACAUCAGGAGGUUAGUGCAAUGGCAUAAGCCAGCUUGACUGCGAGCGUGACGGCGCGAGCAGGUGCGAAAGCAGGUCAUAGUGAUCCGGUGGUUCUGAAUGGAAGGGCCAUCGCUCAACGGAUAAAAGGUACUCCGGGGAUAACAGGCUGAUACCGCCCAAGAGUUCAUAUCGACGGCGGUGUUUGGCACCUCGAUGUCGGCUCAUCACAUCCUGGGGCUGAAGUAGGUCCCAAGGGUAUGGCUGUUCGCCAUUUAAAGUGGUACGCGAGCUGGGUUUAGAACGUCGUGAGACAGUUCGGUCCCUAUCUGCCGUGGGCGCUGGAGAACUGAGGGGGGCUGCUCCUAGUACGAGAGGACCGGAGUGGACGCAUCACUGGUGUUCGGGUUGUCAUGCCAAUGGCACUGCCCGGUAGCUAAAUGCGGAAGAGAUAAGUGCUGAAAGCAUCUAAGCACGAAACUUGCCCCGAGAUGAGUUCUCCCUGACUCCUUGAGAGUCCUGAAGGAACGUUGAAGACGACGACGUUGAUAGGCCGGGUGUGUAAGCGCAGCGAUGCGUUGAGCUAACCGGUACUAAUGAACCGUGAGGCUUAACCU